GAUCCAAAGUCAGCUGAACCUAGCUGUGGUGUUGCUCAGAACUGUGAUCUGAGGUUUUCUGAUAGAAUUUCACUAUCGCUCAAGCACCUGCACCAAGCAGGCUCAAAAGUGUCUCGUGGCUGAGCCUACACUCCUGUGUGUCAUGGUGGGAGUCAUGGAGAGGCUCUGUUCCACCCCUGCCCACUUCCAUUUGUUCACCUGUAAAGAUGAAGACAACCUAAUUUUGCAACAAAAUAGGCUUAAGUAAAUAAAUAUAAAUGUGUCUUAAUAAUUAUGAGUAGUGAAAAACCUGCUCUUGAUUAUGGCUGUGAAGAUACUGGCCACAAUCUAAAGUGGACAUGAAAAACCAUCUGUUCUACUAAAAUGACGUAGAGGAUCAGAAAAAAAAAAAAAAAAUGAUGGUAACAAAAAUCAAGUGAUUGUUCUGAGUAUUUCCUUUUUAUUAUGAUUAUGUGUCUUUGAGUUUCUACCCUUCACAUGCUGCACAAAUAGAUUUUGUUUACUGACUGAUAACAAAUCAAACAAGAAUGCAGCUCUUUUAGGGAAGAAAUCACUCCUGCUACUCUUUUGCUUAUAGAAGCCUUUUUUUUCCCCCAUGUUAACAAAUUAAGCUUUUUGAUCCUUCCAAUUAGACCAUAACCAGUCAUUAUCAUGCCAGAUUUAGGGUCUGAUUAUGCAGCUGCUGUGUCUGAACAACUUCAUUCAAAUCAGUAAGAAAUGCUCAUAUACAGAAAUGGUGCUUGCAUUCUUUGCAGAGCUGCCUAUUUCUGCUUUCUCAGGGGUGAGAUGUUGAAUUUGCCCAUAUUUUUAUCUUUUUUUUUUUUCCUAGAGUCUGAUAGAAAACCUCAUAAAUCUGCAAGUUUUUUGAAAAAACAGUUGGACCAGAUUACACAGUUAACGUGUCUAUGCUGGAUCUUAAUUCUCUCUCAAGAUGUAACAUGUAUUCAGAUCAAUUUAAAAUCAAUGACUGUAUCGGAAAACAAAACAGGCAUCAGAGCGCAAGCAUAAAGGCAAAUGUCAGCCCCUGGAUCGGAAACGACCGAGACCCUCAAUCCAAGCGAUGAAACCUUACAUUUCUGCCUCAGUGCAGGCAAACACACAGCACUAUUUAUAGCACAGCCUUUUACUACCCUUCUGUUAGAAUAGGCUUCAUCGGAGGAUUUACAUGACUAACCAAAAGCAAAAGCCUUUUGUACUUCGUUUCCAUAAGAGAAGGCCAGUGUGAAGCUGGUGUUCACUAGGCUGAAUUACAGAAAAUAUCAGUUACUAAAAAACCAGUUACUAAUUCAAAGGCAUCUGUUACCAUGGCAUAGGUUUCCUCUUCACUCUUCAUGCCCCAGAUUUAGCACCAGUGAUGUGAGCUUAGUGAAAGCUCAAAAAGAACGGUUCUUACCUCUGAAAAAUAAAAUGCAUAGUCAAGAAAGACCACAUGUUUUCAUGGCAACUAAGGAGUAAAGGGUUAAGACCUAGGGGAUGGCUCUGAACCAAUAAACCACACAAAAGACUCCUAUUAGCAAAUCAAGAGCCCAAUGUGCUCCCAUUUCAUUUCCCCCCUUGUAUCUUCAAUUAAACCCUCUGGGCCACAAAGUUACUUUUCCUGCCAAGGACAAUAAUCAGCAUGAGGUGAUUAUUUUAGAUUCUGCUACAUACCCUGAAGUCUGGUGCAAAUGAAAACCAACUCUCCCAUCACCCUCUGACCCGAUUUGGAGGGCAGGGCAGGCCCAUCACCUAGUCCCCAUCCUUUCAUCCUGCUGUGCCAGCUGCGAGCACCCAGGCUUUCCCCAGAGAUGCCACUUUCUCACAGAUGCGCGCCUCUUCCUGCCUUCCAGAUGGCAGCAGGCUUCUUACCAAGCUCCCUGAUUUCCUUUCCCCCCUUGGGAUUUCAUUUCAGUGUUACCUUGUCACAUCUGUUUUUCUCCAGUUGGAUGAUGUGCAGGAGCAUGCAAUGUAAUGCUUCUUCAGGAGGUUACCAACCUGCAACUCACGUAGCUGUUGCAGACCUCCCUGCUCCAGAAACGCCCCCAUGCAGUGAGGAUGACUAAUGCUCUGCUGUGCCAGUGACAGCCCCUGCCCAAGCUGCAAAGCAGAGGCAGAAUUUGGCCCUCUGUGUCCUGGCACAGAAGAUGGAGCGAAGCCAUAGGAGUAGGUUCAACAAGGCUCUUCAAACCCUUCUGCCACAACAAGGAUAUGGAAGAGUCAAAGGGAAGCAGAAGAGAUCAAAGGAAUGGCAUCUCUAUUAGGAAUGAAUAUAUCAUCUAAGUGUCUUCAAAGUAGAAGAGAGACAACUUGGGGAAGGGAGCAGAACCGUAUUGGUCUACAAAGUCUGGAUGACGAGAAGAGAUUAAGCAUGGAGUGUUAUUCACCAUUUCUCAUGAUUCAGAAAUCCUAGCUAUAAAAUGAACUUGUGAUGUUCAACACUGUUCAAUUCCAAACAGUCAAAACGAUGCACUUUUCACAUAGUACACGGCCAGAUGGUGGAACUCAUGCCAUAGAGUACUUUGAAUGCUGAAUGGUGACUUCGCUCCAUGAGUUUGUACAAGAUAAAACUGCUGACAACAGAAAUAACUACUAUUGCAACUCCCUGAUGAGGAGCUUCUCUGGAUUGCUGAAAUGCGGAAGGUGCCGUGUUCUUAUGCUCUUCCUUAAACACUGACUUCUAUGAGCUAGCUGAAUCUUUAAUGUAAGCCAAUAGACUUAUACCACUGUGUGUUCCAAUGGUGUAAAUAAUGUUUUACUUUUGCUAUUAUUGGCAACGAUAAUGGAAAUGUCAAAACAGUACCUUACAUUAAUAAAUGUAAGUCACUGUGUGGCACUGG
ensembl:lncRNA